GACGAACGCUGGCGGCGUGCUUAACACAUGCAAGUCGAACGGAAAGGCCCUGCUUUUGUGGGGUGCUCGAGUGGCGAACGGGUGAGUAACACGUGAGUAACCUGCCCUUGACUUUGGGAUAACUUCAGGAAACUGGGGCUAAUACCGGAUAGGAGCUCCUGCUGCAUGGUGGGGUUGGAAAGUUUCGGCGGUUGGGGAUGGACUCGCGGCUUAUCAGUUAGUUGGUGAGGUAACGGCUCACCAAGACCACGAUCGGUAGCCGGACUGAGAGGUUGAACGGCCACAUUGGGACUGAGACACGGCCCAG
rnacentral:rRNA from 1 species